GAUGAAGAACGUAGCGAAAUGCGAUAAGUAGUGUGAAUUGCAGAAUUCAGUGAAUCAUCGAAUCUUUGAACGCACAUUGCGCCCCUUGGUAUCCCGAGGGGCAUGCCUGUUCGAGCGUCAUUUCACCACUCAAGCCUGGCUUGGUGUUGGGCGACGUCCCAUUUGGGGACGCGCCUCGAAACGCUCGGCGGCGUGGCACCGGCUUUAAGCGUAGCAGAAUCUUUCGCUUUGGAAGUCGGGGCCCCGUCUGCCGGAAGACCUACUCGCAAGGUUGACCUCGGAUCAGGCAGGGAUACCCGCUGAACUUAAGCAUAUCAAUAAGCGGAGGA
rnacentral:misc_RNA from 1 species